UCCCUGGAGGACUAGUGGUUAGGCCACGGCGCUCACACCGCUGAGGGCCGGGUUCAAUUCCUGGCCAGGGAA
rnacentral:tRNA from 1 species